GGGAGUUUAGCUCAGUUGGUUCAGAGCAUCUGCCUUACAAGCAGAGGGUCGGCGGUUCGACCCCGUCAACUCCCACAA
rnacentral:tRNA from 4 species